rnacentral:rRNA from 1 species
UAGANUUCCACGUGUAGCAGUGAAAUGCGUAGAGAUGCGGAGGAAUACCGGUGGCGAAGGCAGCCUCCUGGGAUAACACUGACGUUCAUGCCCGAAAGCGUGGGUAGCAAACAGGAUUAGAUACCCUGGUAGUCCACGCCCUAAACGAUGUCGAUUAGCUGUUGGGCAGCAUGACUGCUUAGUAGCGAAGCUAACGCGUGAAAUCGACCGCCUGGGGAGUACGGUCGCAAGAUUAAAACUCAAAGGAAUUGACGGGGACCCGCACAAGCGGUGGAUGAUGUGGAUUAAUUCGAUGCAACGCGAAGAACCUUACCUGGUCUUGACAUGUACGGAACCCUCCAGAGACGGAGGAGUGCCUUCGGGAGCCGUAACACAGGUGCUGCAUGGCUGUCGUCAGCUCGUGUCGUGAGAUGUUGGGUUAAGUCCCGCAACGAGCGCAACCCUUGUCAUUAGUUGCCAUCAUUAAGUUGGGCACUNUAAUGAGACUGCCGGUGACAAGCCGGAGGAAGGUGGGGAUGACGUCAAGUCCUUAUGGCCCUUAUGACCAGGGCUUCACACGUCAUNCAAUGGUCGGUACAGAGGGUAGCCAAGCCGCGAGGCGGAGCCAAUCUCACAAAACCGAUNGUAGUCCGGA